rnacentral:misc_RNA from 1 species
GGAUACUCAUACUAAAAUUUGAUAGUGCUUUAUAUUUCAAAGCCAAUAAAUAAUGCACUCAACCACUUUAAGUGGUAUGCACUAUACAGUCCAAAUAAAACUGACAAAAUCUAUUUUAUACACAUAUUGACCAUUUAUCAUUUGUGUGUGUGCAUGAUUGGUAAACACAGACAAGGGGAAAAAGUGAGCACCAUAAAUCAUAAUGAUUACCUUGGGGCUAGAUCACAAAGUU